rnacentral:tRNA from 1 species
GCGUCGGUACUCAAGUGGUCAACGAGGGCACGCUGUAAACGUGCUGGCCUUAGGCCUACGUAGGUUCAAAUCCUACCCGGCGCA